AAUCACAAGAUUAUUUUCUUUAUGUCUUGUAGGUGCAAAGAAUAGCAGCUGAUGUGGAGAAAUGUUUGAUGCUUCAAGACUCUGAAGCUGAUUUUAUUAGGUCCACCCAGUGGCUUUUGACUAUUUGAGGGUCAGAUGGUUGUGAAUUCAUACCUCAACAUUGUGCGUCCCGGGAGCAGGCAUCUUUUGCACACAUUAAUUUUUUCAAAGAUGUUUUCUUGGAAUCACAACACUCACUGGAUACAAGAUGGACACAUAGAGGCAAAACAAGUGGAAAAGUCUCAGAGAAGAGGGACAACCCUCAUGUGUGUGCUCAUCUCAGAAAGUUGAUGGAC